CUAAACUGAGGAAAGUCGGCCGAAACUGAUCGACUCGAGGAACGUAGAGGGAAGCGGAACUCUCGGAGUAGCGGUGGAAUGCGUAGAGACCGAGAGGUACCCCGAUGGUGAAGACAGCUUCCUGGGCGUUUCCUGACGCUGAAGCGCUAAGGCCAGGGGAGCGAAGGGGAUUAGAUACCCCCGUAGUCCUGGCUUCAAACGAUGUGGGCUUGGUGUCGGCUCCCGACAGAGAGUCGUUGCCGGAGCUAACGUGUUAAGCCCACCGCCUGGGGAUUACGCCCGCAAGGAUGAAACUCAAGGGAAUUGACGGGGGCCCACACAACCGGUGGAGCACGUGGUUUAAUUCGAUGAUAAGCGAAGAACCUUACCAGGGCUUGACCUAGCGGUGGUAGGAUCCUGAAAGGGAAACGACCUCACGCUUUGCUUGAGGAGCC
rnacentral:rRNA from 1 species